CCUACGGGAGGCAGCAGUAGGGAAUAUUGGGCAAUGGGCGCAAGCCUGACCCAGCGACGCCGCGUGAGGGAUGAAGGUCUUCGGAUUGUAAACCUCUUUCAGUAGGGAAGAAGCGAAAGUGACGGUACCUAAAGAAGAAGCACCGGCUAACUAUGUGCCAGCAGCCGCGGUGAUACAUAGGGUGCAAGCGUUGUCCGGAAUUAUUGGGCGUAAAGAGCUCGUAGGUCGUUUGUCGCGUCGAUUGUGAAAAUCUGAGGCUCAACCUCAGACCUGCAGUCGAUACGGGCAAACUAGAGUGUGGUAGGGGAGACUGGAAUUCCUGGUGUAGCGGUGGAAUGCGCAGAUAUCAGGAGGAACACCAAUGGCGAAGGCAGGUCUCUGGGCCAUAACUGACACUGAGGAGCGAAAGUGCGGGGAGCGAACAGGAUUAGAUACCCUGGUAGUCCGCACCGUAAACGGUGGGCACUAGUUGUGGGAACCUUCCACGGUUUCCGCGACGCAGCAAACGCAUUAAGUGCCCCGCCUGGGGAGUACGAUCGCAAGAUUAAAACUCAAAUGAAUUGACGG
rnacentral:rRNA from 1 species